AAGUUUUAAAAUUAAAAGGGAAAGUGGUUAAAUGCCACUGCAGCCCCCGCUACUGUAAUAACGGACAAAUCUCAAAUAAUCCACUGAUUUUUAAAUUGGGAAGGAUGAGAGGAGGAUGAAGUUUAAGCCAGGAGACCUGCCUAUAUUUUA
rnacentral:ncRNA from 1 species